GACAGUAUGCCAGAGUGGUUAAUGGGUGAGACUCGAACUAUUAAGAGGUAUCUCAUGGGCUUUGCCCGCGCAGGUUCAAAUCCUGCUGCUGUCG
rnacentral:tRNA from 1 species